GGUUGAUCCUGCCAGUAGUCAUAUGCUUGUCUCAAAGAUUAAGCCAUGCAUGUCUAAGUAUAAGUUUGUAUACAACGAAACUGCGAAUGGCUCAUUAAAACAGUUAUAGUUUCCGUGAAACUAACUACUACACGGAUAACCGUGGUAAUUCUGGAGCUAAUACGUGCAACAUCUCCCAACUUACGAAGGGUGGCACUUAUUAGAUUAAGAACCGACCUAUGCUUGCAUAGUUGUCUGGUGAUCCAUAAUAAUUUUGUGAAUCGCAUAGUUUCGACAGGCGAUAGUUCACUUAA
rnacentral:rRNA from 1 species